ensembl:lncRNA
AAACUGAGGCCGGGAGAUACAUGAAGAGGCAGCACUGGUACUCCAGGGCCAUGAACCUCAUGGCUCCAGCACUGUUGUUCACCAGGGUUCCUAUUUCACCCCACUGGGCUGGAAAAAGCCCAGGGUUCUCCAGCCUGUUGAGUGGAGGUCGGUGGAGAUGCUGGGAUGCAGAUCCUGGCUCUGCCUUUGCUGCCUCUAAUCUGGAGACGUUGACAGCAGGACAGACUCCUACUGGGACAGGGCUACAGCUUGACCCUGCAGAUGGAGACGGGGAUGAAGCACGGAGAGGGGGCGCCCACCACUGGUGCAGGAGGACCUGCUCAGCAUUCUGUCUUCACACUUCCAUCACUUGCAUCUCUCAUCAGUUAUCAUCAUGGAGCUGGUCGAUAUUGAAAUGAAACUGCCAGGGGAUCGAUAACAGAAUUGCUGAGGAGCCUUCUGGAAGGAUGACAUUCUUCUCAUUUUGUGGGCACGGAGGAUGAAUCGGGGUGGGGGGAUGUGGGGGAGCAGUGCAUGCUCAGGCAUUUGCCACUUCAGAGAACUUUACAGAACAUCCAGCCUUAACAAGUUACCCUGUGUGUCACUGACGUGCUCGGGGAGAUGUUUUAUUCUGCUAACAGAGCAUCUCUCUGAGCAGUUUGCAAGCCCUCCAGUGGGGCCUGCUGCUUUCUCUGCUUCUAAGAGCUGCCACAACAGCCUGGGUAGAUAAAGAUAUGUGGAUAGGUUAGGUAAGAUUGGGCUGAGUUAGUAAACACGAGUACUAAAGGUGCAUUUGUGCUCGUGGGGUUUAAUUGUAUUUUUAUCGUGUAAAUGGGGAAGACACGAUGCCUGCCUACAGCAGUGGGUUUCACAUCUUGCACUGUGUUGACUCCCUGCAUUUUUCCCCAGGAGAGGCAUAGACCCCACACAGCAGAUGUCAGCACUGUCACUCCCAGUGGUUCCCCCUCACAGAUCCAUUAGCAAAAUAACAGAGGGCCUCCGGGGAUUCAGACUCCAGAUUGGAAACCACUGUCCUGCAGAUCUACAGGCAAAUCCCUUUCCUGUGCAGCCUCUUCACACAGAGGUGAAUGGAGGAAACCACUGGGCUGAGGGCAGCUCCUAAGCAAAGCCCUGACUCCCAGGGCUGGCCCCAUCAUGGUGGCCCUGUAGUUUGGCAUGAAUUAAACCACAGAGCUACAAACAGAUGCUUCCUAUACAUGUCCCCCUCAAAGGGAAGUGAAAUGCAUGUGGGACAUUUUCAAGACAGAGAUGGAAUUUCUUUUUCUCUAUAGAGAGAGCUGUGGAUGCCCCAUCCCUGGAGGUGUUCAAGGCCAGCUUGGAUGGGGCCCUGGGCAAAUAGAUCUCUCCGGUGGUUGGUACCUACCUGUGGUGGGGAGAUUGGAACUGGAUGAUCUUUGAGGUCCCUUCCAACCCAAGCUAUUCUGUGAUUCCUAUGAUUCAGUGAUUCAAUGAUUCUAUGAUUCAAUGAUUCUGCGAUUCUAUGAUGAGAUAUUUACUUAUCUUUAUGGGGCAGGAGCGAGACGUUUCCAUUUAAAGCAUAAUUUAAAAUCAUUUUUAAAUUAAACAUUAAAAGGUACAGAUGUCUCAGAAACAAAGGCAUGAUAGCAUCUAUCAGGCAAACAACAACACAAGCCUGGCCACCACUAGAACUCUGGCCUGCUUCAGUCUCCCUCCACCUUCCACCUGGCUCUCCCAUCACGUCUCCUAACUUCUCAUCAAUGACGCUGGGAAAUUGCAGCCUCAGUGCAGUGCUGUUGAUCCCUAACCCAAGUGGCCGACCCCCCUGUGCCCUGUGCUGCAUGCACUGAGCCUGACCUCUGAUCUCCAACACUUAAAUGCCAUUUCCCAGCUCCCAGGGGCUCCGUGCCACUCUGAGCAGGAGCACUGAGUGACGUGCACCCGCACUGCUCACCCAUACUGAGUGACAGCCCGUGACCCAAAUACCUGCUACAACAUUAGUCCCUCUCCUGCUGCUUAUUACCAGGUGCUCUCAGCAAUGGAAGGAAGGGAUUUGUUUUAAGCAGGCGGAUAUUUUCAUCCCUGGCAUUGCUUCGCUGACCUCCCCGGAGCUGGAGUGGCUCCGAGCUUGGCGUGGCACGAGCUGCUUUGAAGCCUCCUCUCCUCGCCCUCCUCCUGCCCGCGCAUCCUGCAUCCCCACCCCAGGCUCCUCCAGCAUAUGCUGCUUCCCAGCAGGAGGCUGGCACGGGGUAAUUAUUUGAAGCUAUCUCCUCCGGUGCUUCGUUUCCCAUUGUUCUGUCUUUAUUUUGCUUCCAAGGGUCCACUUCCUCC